CGCGCCUCCCUCUGCCCAAGAAUGCGUGGUGAUACGAUCCGUUUCUUGAUCUAUGAUGUGCUCUUGCUUGAUAUAUUGGGUCUCUAGCCAAGAAGAUGAAGAACAACACCCCGUGUCCCGUGUAACAGUUGAUGAGAUAUGUGACUCCCCGUGUCCCAAGGAAAUUCCUGCUUGAGCCAAUUACAGAAGGCCCUGAUAUUUGCCAAAUUGAUGGUUGUAGUGUUAAAUUGGAAUACAAGAGGAGGCAAGUCAAAUAUGGUUUGUUUGACACCAUCCUGAUUGCAAGCUGGUUGUUAUCCAUGAUGACUAUAGCUUAACUUCCAAGCUGCCAAGGGAGAGAACUUCUGUUGUAACGAUAUCUGGCCUUUGAAGUACUUGGUUCCAUGUAUGAGGGAAGAUCUGUUUGCCAGGGACAAUUCGCCGUCUCAUCCCGACUUUGUCGUCUGCCCACCCCGCCCCAUUACCCCAUGGAGGCACUAUGGAAGCAGGCCUCUAGGCUCAAGAACCAGGUCGCUCGGCAGGUUAGUCAUGCCCUUAUCCUCCUCUCGCAAACCGUGAUCCGCAUUUGUAACCAUAAUGGUGGACAUGAUAGAAUUGUUCUACAGGAUGCCCUGGCCAUAUAAUCUCACUUUUGUGCCUUUUUAUUGCUGAUGGCAGAAGAUAAGAAUCACUCAGACCAUGCCUUUUAUUUUCCUGUACAAAAGUUGGAGUUGAGUUUGUAUAAUGUUUUUUUUCUAUAGUAUGUUGUGAAGCUAUCGUUUGUAUUUGAUAAAACAAAAAUACCGGUAUGUUCUAUUCCAUGGUUAUUAAAACGGUAAAACCUUAAAACGUUAUGAACCAACUUUUUAACAUUUAAACGUUUAAACGAACGUUGAAACGUCUUUUCAGACUUCACAUAGAAGUUCAAAUAUAAAAUAAGUUCAUACAUAAGUUGAGUACUUGAGUUCACAAACCAAAUUGAAAUUCACUGUGAGCAAUAUGGUUGCACAAUCAGUAGUUCAGUACUCACCAAUAUGGUUGAGCAAAUAGAGAUUGACUGAUUCACUGUGAGCAAAAUCAGUACUCACCAAAUGAUCAAAUGGAGAGUAGUGGAGGUGGAGGAUGGCUGGCUGCUAGUGCUGGUCUUGGGCGCUGGCAGAGUGGAGCCGCAGAGGAUGGCUGGCUGGUUGCUGGUCUUGGGUGCAGAUCUGCUGUGGGGUAGGCGGCCAGCGGUGGUGCAGGUCUGCUGUGCCUCCACGGCCGGCGGUCAGUUGUGCCUCCACGGUCAGCGGCCGGCUUUGCCUCCGCGGCUGAGGAGAGGAGAGACGCGCCGGAGAUGUUGGAGGAUAGGAGGGAGGAGGGCGGUGGCGCCAGCUGAGCCGUUGGAGCCAGAAGAAGAGAGAUCGAGAGAGGAGGGCGGCGGCCGGCUGAGCUGUUGGAGGAGAGGAGAGACCGAGAGAGGAGGGCGGCGGCCAGCUGAGCCGUUGGAGGAGAGGAGAGAGGAGGGUGGCGUGCGUCCAACACCUAGAGGAAAACCUAAAGGCCCAGGAAAGGCCCAGAACGGGUAGAACGUCCUCAGCACGCAUAAAACGUCCUAAAACACGAUUAGGACGCUUAAGCGACGCUUAAACGCUCGAAACGGACGUUCUACGCGGCUUACCUAAAACGCUUGGACGUUCCAACUGCUAAUCACGUUUUAACGCUUAAACGACGUUUAAGCGACGUUUUAAUAACAAUGUUCUAUUCUCUAUUAUGUUCUGUCUAUUGAGUCUAUGUAGGAUCUUCCUGCUGCUAUGGGAAAGAGAGGGGUGAAACUUGGCAAGGCAUCCUAUUAAGAGCUGACAGGGGUAAAGAAGCUAAAGUUGGAUGAGCAGGGCAUGCUUCACUAGCUUGUUAUUUUGCUCUACCCAUAUGGCAUGCCGAGUGACUUCAUUGAGGGUUUGGCUUAUAAAGAUACUCUCUCGCCCCACCCCUCCUUAAUUACAUGAUGCUUUUUUUGGUCGAGUUAAAAUGUGUACAUGUUCAAGUACCUAUACUGAAUUUAUUGUAGUGGUAUCCUUAACAAACAUGUUCUCAGAAACUUCUUCACCAUUACAAUGGAAUGAGAACCACACUUACACUACGGAGCUUGUCGAACGCACCUGGACGUUAGCCGAGUGCAAGGUGCAGGGUCUACUCCGAGGGCAAGGCGCCAUGGCUCGCUGCACCACUAAAUGCAGCAGCAAUCGUCCACGUACUAUCUUGUGUGGAUUCUGUGCUCCGUAUCGCCUCCUACCAGGCCUUUUUAGCUCUUCAUCAGAAGCCCUGUGCAGGUUGGCUCAGGCUUCUUAUGUUUCAGGCUGAAGAGGCAUUCCAGCGAGAAGAUCUAUCGGUGCAUAUUGGUUGUUUGACAACCAGAAUGUAAUGGCAAGAAAUUACCCUUUGCACAGUGUGGCAUGUGCGGAUGUGCCAUGGCACAUCAGGUGCAUUUAGAAAGACUGUAGAUGGGAAGUGGGUUCAUGCUUUCUGUGCUGAGUGGUUGUUGGACACCAAGUAUGUAAGGGGACAAGAUAAACCUGUAGAAGGAACGGAAACCCUUGUAGAGGGAAAGGACACUUGUGUCUGCCUCCACAAUGUUGGCGGGUGCUUAAGGUGUAGCAGUGGGGAUUGCAACAUUACUUUCCAUCCUACUUGCGCUAGAAGUUGUGGUUUUUACAUGAACACAAAAGGGUUUGGUACUACACCACAACACAAAGCAUACUGUGGCAAACACAGCGUACAACAGAAAGAGGCUGAUGCACAACAAUAUGGACCUGAGGAGCUCACGAGCAUGAAACGAAUGAGGAUUAGCAUGCCAGAUUUACAUUAUAUUGUUUCCCUGUGUUUGGUAGCAUAAGAAUGUUUGCACAAUUACUAGAAAUUUAAUGCAAAUAUUUUUAUAGAAUAUUUCAAAUGCUCGAAGCAUUUGGACAUCUACA